rnacentral:RNase_P_RNA from 1 species
GGAGUCGGCCAGGCAAUCGCGCGCUGCUUGCAGCGGGAGGAAAGUCCGGGCUCCGGCGGGCAGGGUGCCAGGUAACGCCUGGGGGGCGCGAGCCCACGGAAAGUGCCACAGAAAAUAUACCGCCUGUAGUUCGUUUAUUCGGGCUGCAGGUAAGGGUGAAAUGGUGCGGUAAGAGCGCACCGCGCGGGUGGUAACACUUCGCGGCAGGGUAAACCCCACCUGGAGCAAGACCAAAUAGGGAAGCAUGUUGCUUUGCAACGACCGUGCCCGCAGGUGCUUCCGGGUAGGUUGCUUGAGGCCACUGGUGACGGUGGUCCCAGAUGAAUGAUUGCUCACGACAGAACCCGGCUUAUCGGCCGACUCCACUU